rnacentral:lncRNA from 13 species
AGCAGGACAUGAAAGGGGAUGGCAGGGCAUGGGGAUGGGGCGGCAGGGCAUGGGAGGGGGCAGCAGGGCAUUUGAGGGGUGUCCUCGGGACUUGUGUGGUCUUGAUGCCUGCCAGCAUUGGUGUUGGCAGCUGGUGCUGUUGGAGGGGGCUUGGUGCAAGGUGAGGUGACUUUGGGAAGAUGAAUUUGGUGUUGGACAGCCUGGCAGAGCUCCCAGUGUGUGGCUGCCAUGUGAGUGUAUGCUGGGCGGGUGCCUCCGGGUGCCUGGGGUUAAAGGAGUGGUGGGUCUCCUGUGAGAGUGAGCCAGAGAGGGGAAGAAUGGGGAACCCCAGGUGAGACUCGCAGGAGAUUGGCCAGAGCAGGAGGAAACUAUCAGAGAAGCGGCUGCCAAGACCCCAUGGUGGCAUAGUCAGAGGGUGCUGUGGCCAGGGGCUUCUGGACAGGAGGGCCCAGGCAGGAGAUGGCCUGGCUGUGGCCAGGUGCUGGACUUCGGGAGAGGAGGGCCCAGGUGGGAGGUGGCCUGGCUGCAGUAAUGGCCACCUGUGUGCUGGGCUCUGCCUUUUCCUGGGAUUCAGGCUGGCUUUACUUGCUUAAGUGAGGGAAUGUUAAACUUUCUGGACUCGUGGCCUUUUUUUGAGAAUCUAGUGCAAGCUCCUUGUGUGUCCCAAACUUUUGUAGACACAGAUGCUUCUGAAACUCUCACUUUGAUGUUGAGUUAUAGUUUGAUUUUGGGAUUACCAUGGCCUGCACGUGUCCUCCUGCAGCCGCCAAUCCCCUGCAGGUGCUGAAGGUCACCAUCCUGGCUGAGAAGUAUGCAGUGGACUACACCUGGUAUAUGGACACCAUCUUGAACUUGAUCUGAAUCGCUGGCAAUUACCUGAGAGAAGAGGUGUUGUAUUGAGUCAUUCAGAUCAUCAUCAACCGGGACGAAGUGCAGGGCUAUGCAGCCAUGACCGUGUUGGAGGUAUGGCCCACAGGACUGCCAGGAAGGAUGCGGUGUGGGGAGUCAUGGAAGUGGGCUCUGGAGCUGGAAGAGGGGUAUCACCAGCGGCCUGUGGUGCAGCCCACUGAUCCAGUUCAACCUGCUGCACUCCAAGUUUCACCUGUGCAGUGUCCCCACCCGCGUGCUGCUUCUCUCCACCUACAUCAAGUUCGUGAACCUCUUUCCGAAGGUGAAGCCCACCAUACAGGAUGUGCUGCGCAGUGA